UAUAGUCUACACACAUCUGAAAUAUCCUACCUAUACAGGAAAGUUUCAACGAUCUCUUCGUGGACACAAUGACGCCUCUACGUUUCGCUGUUGUCUUCGUCCUCCUCUUUGGUGGAUUUGUCGCUAGUGAAGCUGCACCUGAAGGACACGAGCUUGAACGUCGUGACGUUGUCGUUGAGCACUGCGCUUGUCUUAUGGGUGUUAUCGAUUGCCCUACCAAAAGUUGCACACUGGCGAGCGGGUGUACGGAAUGCGCCGAUCUCUCGGUAUGCCUUUGUUAUGGGGGUAGCACCUGCCCUGGAAAGAGUUGCACAGCGGCAAGCGGCUGUUCGAAAUGCACCCAUACCAUUGAGUAAACAACAUGGCUGACUGGCAUCUCUCAACUACGAAAUGAUCAAUUGCACGUAUAUGAAAUAAGAGACCUUGGUAUUCUCUUUUACCAAUAUGUUCAUGGGUGGCGGGAACUUUUGAGGGCAAUAAAUUGUACUAAGCAGCA